AUUACUUAAUCCAAUUAUUUGAUAACUUUAGUUACCGGCAGAUACCGAUACAAUUAGCAAUAGAAUUAUAAGCAAACCAAUUAUAUAUUAUAGAUGAUACAACCAUUUGAUUGAUUCACAAGCUAGAAUCUAGAAUCAGCUCCAGCUGUACCAGCUGAAACAUUACAGUGUAGCGGCUAUUAAUGCAUCCUAUAAUAUCCAAUUAUAUCCAAUUAUAAAGCUUCUUUUGGCACGUUAAUUAAAUUAUAUUUAAUCUGCCAUUAUUACUUUAAUCAAAUAAAAAUGAAUGACUUUCACACUGUUUUACUGGGACUUUUACUUCUCCCACCUCCGUGCUCAACACAUGCAAAUAUAAAAAGAGUUUUCCCGUAGUAUGAAACCAACGACUUUAACAGAGAAGGCUGGCGGCUCAGCUAAGCCCUCGUCGACCACGACCGUGGGGGAUAUCACGAGCAUCUGAUAGAGAAACCUAGAACGUGGCUAUUCACAUAACCGAGGCAGAUCCAUAGAGAGCCCGGCGGUGCAAAUAGGAUUUGAUGUGCUGGGAAGAGGUGCGACUAGGGUCCAAAAGAAUGCGCCAUUUCAUAAAUAGCCUUUGUUAGAUGCGAUGCGUACGAUGGUAAUGGGGAAAGGAGCUGGUGAGAGAACCUUGUCUGGCUCUUCCCAUCUCUGCACAUUAAUCUGAAGUGACACAUCACAAACGACGUCUCCUAUCUUUGAAAAGGCCGCUAUCCUUCCAGCGCUGAUGCCGCGAUGAUAGCAGAGAUUGUUUAUUAACUUUUAAAAAUGGGCACUACCAGCAUCAGCAUUUUGGAUCAAUCUGUAGGAACAAUCAAUAACAGCUGACAGCUAAAAACAGACUGUGUUUGGAGUAACUGGUCACUCUUAAGACACCCACCUCUCUUUUAUCGGAGCCCAUCAUCUACGGAAGUUACUUUAUUAAAAGCAGCAUUUUUGUUUGUGGGAGUUUCUGCUGGUGAAAGAAAGGAUUGACAUUCAAACUAACAACAUGGUAACGAUAAGUUGUGGAAUAUUUCCACUUUUCCUCUGUCCUCAUUUCUGUCUCCGGUUCUCACAAGACAAACUCGAGAUAACUGCUUAAUCGAAAAAAACAACGUAGCGGACAAUCAAGAGCACAAUCGGUCUCUUUUCUCUGGUGGAUGAAUAUCUUCACCAAGAGUCUGCGUAAAUUGAUACUCCACAACAGACGGGAGGUUUUCACAUCCGUUCGUUAGUUGUUGUUGUUUAUUAUUAGAAAGCCUACCGGAGUUUCCCUCUGCACCUUUUCCCCUUGUUAUUGACGAGGAUGAAGCGGCCUGAGAUCCAUCACCAUACAAAGGCGUGCGCUACGUAGGCGUGCGCUACGAAGGCCUGCGCUACGUAGGCGUGCGCUACGAAGGCCUGCGCUACGGUGGCGUGCGCUACGAAGGUACGAAGGCCUGCGCUACGGUGGCGUGCGCUAUGAAGGCCUGUGCGCUACGAAGGCCUGUGCGCUACGUAGGCCUGUGCGCUACGAAGGCCUGUGCGCUACGUAGGCGUGCGCUACGAAGGCCUGUGCGCUACGAAGGCGUGCGCUACAUAGGCAUGUGCUACGAAGGCGUGUGCUACGAAGGCGUGUGCUACGUAGGCGUGGCAUUUGGCCGACUUGCUGCCGUGUCCGGAUACAUUUUAAAACCGGUUUAAAAAAGAAAACCAGUCGAGUGCACGUAGACCGGUCCCAUUAUUGACCCAACCCGCCCGAGCCCUCCCAUCCCACGGUCCAGAUGUUCCAUGUAGCUGCUGAAAUAUUCACACCUGGUCGGCUCUUCCACAGAUGUGGCCCCGUCAGUCCAGAUAAAAGGGAACACGGGCAGUUAAUCGACACGCUGCUGCGAUGCAGGACUUCUUACACAAGCACCAUCUUCAUGGGUCUAACGGUUGUGGAGAUUGUUAGAAACGUUGUUGUACUGUUCAGCAGAUUGUGCGGUGGGGGUGGGGGUGGGAUGGGGGGGUGCGGAGGGGUGUUUGAAGAGCGCCCGAAGGGGCAAUUGGUUGGUGUACCGUAUAUCAUCACAGUGUCGCCGGCUGAGGACUGUAAACAGUGUGAUUCAUAUCUCGUGUUCUGGAUGUUGCUUUAAUGGAUAUUGCACCAUAAACAGGCAGGGAAAUGGGCGAUUAGGUUUGAUUUAUUGGCAGGUCACUUGUCUGGAGAUGAUGGGGAUCACCUUUUAUUGCUCAGGUUAUGUAACGGGGGUCCCUUCAAAUCACCGAGGUAGAGAAAAUGAAACGGCCCGAAUGGACGGCGACGGCGGUGGCGGAGUCUGUCCUCGGGAAACGGCCGCGGGUGUCGUCCAGGGAGCUCGGCGGGUCGCACUUGAACUGUGGCUGAAGAGAAAUGGCUAACUGAGCCCAGACAAAUAAACACAAGAGGCACGGGAGCCUCCCCACCCCCCCCCCCCCCCCCC
ensembl:lncRNA